ensembl:lncRNA
CACCCGAGCCCACAGCGCCUAACCUGAGGCUCCCAGUCGCGUCGGGCCUCCCGAGUGGGGCGCGUGUAGGGAAGACCUCCGCACGUGUCCCCAGCACGGAGCAGGGCCAGUUUCAGGGAUCCUUCAGCAGUACAGGGCUCCCUACUCAGAUGGACCCUGGGCUUGGCAUAUGGCUCUGCUGUUGCCAUCUUCUGUGUCCCAAAAUUCAUGUUGAAACAUAAUCCGGAUUAUAGUGGUAUAUGAGAUGAAACUGGUUUGUGCAUCUCUAUUGCUCGAGCAGGAGGAAAUCAUUAUAAUGAAAAGAGUUAUUGAAAAUGGUCCAUGUUGUGUAAUUCCCAAGAUAAAUG